rnacentral:rRNA from 1 species
GACGAACGCUGGCGGCGUGCUUAACACAUGCAAGUCGAGCGGUAAGGCCCUUUCGGGGGUACACGAGCGGCGAACGGGUGAGUAACACGUGGGUGACCUGCCCUUAGCUCUGGGAUAAGCCUGGGAAACUGGGUCUAAUACCGGAUAUGACUCCAUGACGCAUGUUGUGGGGUGGAAAGCCUUGUGCGGCUAGGGAUGGGCCCGCGGCCUAUCAGCUUGUUGGUGGGGUGAUGGCCUACCAAGGCGACGACGGGUAGCCGGCCCUGAGAGGGCGACCGGCCACACUGGGACUGAGACACGGCCCAGACUCCUACGGGAGGCAGCAGUGGGGAAUCUUGCGCAAUGGGCGAAAGCCUGACGCAGCGACGCCGCGUGAGGGAUGACGGCCU